CCUACGGGUGGCAGCAGUGGGGAAUAUUGGGCAAUGGGCGCAAGCCUGACCCAGCAACGCCGCGUGAAGGAUGAAGGUUUUCGGAUUGUAAACUUCUGUCGCGAGGGACGAAGAAUGACGGUACCUCGUAAGAAAGCACCGGCUAACUACGUGCCAGCAGCCGCGGUAAUACGCAGGGGGCAAGCGUUGUCCGGAAUGACUGGGCGUAAAGGGAGUGUAGGCGGCUCAUCAAGUUAGAUGUGAAAUCCCGCGGCUUAACCGCGGAACUGCAUCUGAAACUGGUAGGCUUGAGUGCAGGAGAGGGGGGUGGAAUUCCUGGUGUAGCGGUGGAAUGCGUAGAUAUUAGGAGGAACACCGGGGGCGAAGGCGACUCACUGGACUGUGACUGACGCUGAGGCUCGAAAGCGUGGGGAGCAAACAGGAUUAGAUACCCUUGUAGUC
rnacentral:rRNA from 1 species